AGAGUUUGAUCCUGGCUCAGAGUUAACGCUGGCGGCGUGCCUAACACAUGCAAGUCGAGCGAAGAGUACCAGAGUACCGGGCUCUUAGCGGCAGACGGGUGAGUAAUACUUAAACAAUCUGCCCUCGAAUGGGAGACAACCAAGCGAAAGUUUGGCUAAUACCCCAUACAAUCCUCUUGAGGCAUCUCAAGGGGAUGAAAGGCCCGCAAGGGUCGUUCGAGGAGGAGUUUGAGUCCUAUCAGCUAGUUGGCGGUGUAACAGACCACCAAGGCUAUGACGGGUAGCCGAUCUAAAAGGAUGACCGGCCACAAGGGCACUGAGACACGGGCCCUACUCCUACGGGAGGCAGCAGUGGGGAAUUUUGGACAAUGGACGAAAGUCUGAUCCAGCGACGCCGCGUGAAGGACGAAGGUUUUCGGAUCGUAAACUUCUUUUGCAGGGGACGAAUACGCGCAAGCGUUUGACGGUACUCUGCGAAUAAGCCACGGCUAACUACGUGCCAGCAGCCGCGGUAAUACGUAGGUGGCGAGCGUUACUCGGAAUUACUAGGCGUAAAGCGCGUGUAGGCGGGAGCUUAAGUUUGCUGUUAAAUCUCGUGGCUCAACCACGAAAUGCCGGCGAAUACUGGGCUUCUUGAAUUCGGUAGAGGUAACUGGAAUUCCAGGUGUAGCGGUGAAAUGCGUAGAUAUCUGGAAGAACGCCAAAGGCGAAGGCAGGUUACUGGGCCGCAAUUGACGCUGAGACGCGAAAGCUAGGGGAGCAAACAGGAUUAGAUACCCUGGUAGUCCUAGCCGUAAACGAUGUAGACCAGGUGUGGGAGGUAUCGACCCCUUCCGUGCCGACGCUAACGCAUUAAGUCUACCGCCUGGGGAGUACGGCCGCAAGGUUAAAACUCAAAGGAAUUGACGGGGGCCCGCACAAGCGGUGGAUCAUGUGGUUUAAUUCGACGCCACGCGAAGAACCUUACCUGGGCUCGAACGACUA
rnacentral:rRNA from 1 species